rnacentral:piRNA from 2 species
GUGAACCGGCCCAGGUCGGAAACGGAG